UACGUAGGUGACGAGCGUUAUCCGGAAUUACUGGGCGUAAAGCGCACGCAAGCGGUUGGACAAGUCUGGCGUGAAAUCUCCUGGCUUAACUAGGAGCGGUCGCUGGAAACCGUUCGGCUUGAGGCGAUGAGAGGGGUGCAGAAUUCCACGUGUAGCAGUGAAAUGCGUAGAGAUGUGGAGGAAUACCGAUGGCGAAGGCAGCCCCCUGGGUCGAUACUGACGCUCAUGCACGAAAGCGUGGGGAGCAAACAGG
rnacentral:rRNA from 1 species